rnacentral:rRNA from 1 species
AUUGAACGCUGGCGGCAUGCCUUACACAUGCAAGUCGAACGGUAACAGGUCUUCGGAUACUGACGAGUGGCGAACGGGUGAGUAAUACAUCGGAACGUGCCCAGACGUGGGGGAUAACGAGGCGAAAGCUUUGCUAAUACCGCAUACGAUCUAAGGAUGAAAGCAGGGGACCGCAAGGCCUUGUGCGUUUGGAGCGGCCGAUGGCAGAUUAGGUAGUUGGUGGGAUAAAAGCUUACCAAGCCGACGAUCUGUAGCUGGUCUGAGAGGACGACCAGCCACACUGGGACUGAGACACGGCCCAGACUCCUACGGGAGGCAGCAGUGGGGAAUUUUGGACAAUGGGCGAAAGCCUGAUCCAGCAAUGCCGCGUGCAGGAUGAAGGCCUUCGGGUUGUAAACUGCUUUUGUACGGAACGAAAAGGCUCUGGCUAAUACCUGGGGCACAUGACGGUACCGUAAGAAUAAGCACCGGCUAACUACGUG